UACGUAGGUGACAAGCGUUGUCCGGAUUUACUGGGCGUAAAGAGCGCGCAGGCGGUCGUUCAAGUCGAGUGUGAAAGCCCCCGGCUCAACUGGGGAGGGUCACUCGAUACUGAUCGACUCGAAGGCAGGAGAGGGUAGUGGAAUUCCCGGUGUAGUGGUGAAAUGCGUAGAUAUCGGGAGGAACACCAGUGGCGAAGGCGACUACCUGGCCUGUUCUUGACGCUGAGGCGCGAAAGCGUGGGGAGCAAACGGG
rnacentral:rRNA from 1 species